rnacentral:rRNA from 1 species
ACAGGGAAGCUUCGGGAGCUAGUUGAUGCAACAGUGAGGAGAGGUGUUGAUAUCCUUUGCGUCCAAGAAACCAAAUGGAGAGGACAGAAGGCGAAGGAGGUGGAGGAUACCAGCUUCAAGCUGUGGUACACGGGGACGGCUGCAAACAGAAAUGGCGUAGGCAUCUUGAUCAACAAGAGCCUCAAGUAUGGAGUGGUAGACGUCAGGAGACGUGGGGACCGGAUUAUCCUGGUCAAGCUGGUAGCUGAGGACUUGGUUCUCAAUGUUAUCAGCGCAUAUGCCCCGCAAGUAGGCCACAAUGAGAACACCAAGAGGGAGUUCUGGGAAGGCUUGGAAGACAUGGUUAGGAGUGUACCGAUUGGUGAGAAGCUCUUCAUAGGAGGAGACCUCAAUGGCCACGUGGGUACAUCUAACACAGGUUUUGAAGGGGCGCAUGGGGCUUUGGCUAUGGCAUCAGGAAUCAAGAAGGAGAAGAUGUCUUAA